UUGAACGCUGGCGGCAGGCCUAACACAUGCAAGUCGAACGGUAACAGCAAGCAGCUUGCUGCUUUGCUGACGAGUGGCGGACGGGUGAGUAAUGUCUGGGAAACUGCCUGAUGGAGGGGGAUAACUACUGGAAACGGUAGCUAAUACCGCAUAACGUCGCAAGACCAAAGAGGGGGACCUUCGGGCCUCUUGCCAUCGGAUGUGCCCAGAUGGGAUUAGCUAGUAGGUGGGGUAAAGGCUCACCUAGGCGACGAUCCCUAGCUGGUCUGAGAGGAUGACCAGCCACACUGGAACUGAGACACGGUCCAGACUCCUACGGGAGGCAGCAGUGGGGAAUAUUGCACAAUGGGCGCAAGCCUGAUGCAGCCAUGCCGCGUGUAUGAAGAAGGCCUUCGGGUUGUAAAGUACCUUCAGCGGGGAGGAAGGGAGUAAAGUUAAUACCUUUGCUCAUUGACGUUACCCGCAGAAGAAGCACCGGCUAACUCCGUG
rnacentral:rRNA from 1 species